UGAAGACAGUGACUGUGUGCUCAUAUAUAAUAAAAAAUCUUUAAAAAAAAAAAACAAAACAAACCAGGGUAUUUUGUUUGGUUGGUUAGUUGUUUUGUUUUAAUAAACAUUGGCUUGAGGUUUUUUUGUUCUUCCUCCCCAGUGUCUGACGCCAUUCAAAUGCAGAAAGAGUGGAGCUUUGCAAAGACACCCCAUCUGCUCAUUGAUCUGUACUGCAGGGUUUUUGUGACACUGGGUCCAGAGGAGUCAAUUGGCCAUUUGCAGGAAGUUCUGGAGCUGCAGGAGGUUAACUGGCAACACGUGCUGUCCUGUGUGUCUACACUGGUUGUCUGCUUUUCUGAGGCACAGCAGCUGAUUAAAGAUUGGGUGGCCUCUUUGAUGGCCCGGGCCUUUGAGAGCUACCACCUAGACAGCAUGGUCACUGCCUUCCUGAUUGUGCGCCAGGCUACUCUGGAAGGCCCCUACGUAUUCCCGUCCUACGCAGAUUGGUUCAAGGUGAGUUCUGGGAAGUGUGUUAUCU
rnacentral:lncRNA from 14 species